rnacentral:rRNA from 1 species
GAGUUUGAUCAUGGCUCAGAUUGAACGCUGGCGGCAGGCUUAACACAUGCAAGUCGAGCGGAAACGAUACCAGCUUGCUGGUAGGCGUCGAGCGGCGGACGGGUGAGUAACACUUAGGAAUCUACCUAGUAGUGGGGGAUAGCUCGGGGAAACUCGAAUUAAUACCGCAUACGUCCUACGGGAGAAAGGGGGCAAUUUACUGCUCUCGCUAUUAGAUGAGCCUAAGUCGGAUUAGCUAGUUGGUGGGGUAAAGGCCUACCAAGGCGACGAUCUGUAGCUGGUCUGAGAGGAUGAUCAGCCACACCGGGACUGAGACACGGCCCGGACUCCUACGGGAGGCAGCAGUGGGGAAUAUUGGACAAUGGGGGCAACCCUGAUCCAGCCAUGCCGCGUGUGUGAAGAAGGCCUUUUGGUUGUAAAGCACUUUAAGCAGUGAAGAAGACCUAACGGUNAAUACCCGUUAGCGAUGACAUUAGCUGCAG